ensembl:lncRNA
CAGGAAUCUGUUUCUGUGUGUGGCACACCCAAAAUGCAUGGCCACUUUUGUGUUAAUCAUUUAAUUUAAUUUAUUUAAUUUGUUUAUCAGUUAUUUUCUGUGGCUAUUAAUAUCCAAAAUGACUUUGACAACAUGACCAACCUAACCAGUGCAUUAUUUUGUCACAUAAACUGUAUAGAAGGUACAAAGAAAUGGAGCAACACCCCAGGUGGAACUAUUAUUCCAAGACAGGUGCAACCCGGUUGCUUUAGGGGGAUGGACUUCCGCCCACGAGUCAGAUGCAAUCUGAAAGGCAAACCGAGUGCACUGUCUUCAUUGCUCCUGAACUUUACCUGUGUUUGCAGGGAUUUCUUCUUUGUUAUUGUGGCACCAUUCCUGGGGCCCGUAACAAAUUGUGGGGGCUCGUCCAGGAUCCACUUCCUGUUGAGUCUUCUAAGGAAGAGGGUCCAGAGAUACUAGAACCAGAAAGUCAACGUGAGAUGGCAUCGCUGUAGCCGAGACGACAGCUGGUGGGUGUCCACAAAGAGAAGUCAAGAUCUGUACGAGGGUCUUCACUCCACCAACGGAACUGCACCUCUGUGUCUCAUUAGUCGAAGCUCAUCAUGGCAGCAGCGCGCAAGGAGCUGGUUUGGAGCAUCAAAAAGAACUUGUAUAAGCUUUCAGGUGCAGAAGCCUAUCAGCUCGCAAGGGAC